rnacentral:rRNA from 1 species
GAUGAACGCUGGCGGCGUGCCUAAUACAUGCCAGUCGAGCGAACGGACGAGAAGCUUGCUUCCCUGAUGUUAGCGGCGGACGGGUGAGUAACACGUGGAUAACCUACCUAUAAGACUGGGAUAACUUCGGGAAACCGUAGCUAAUACCGGAUAAUAUUUUGAACCGCAUGGUUCAAAAGUGAAAGACGGUCUUGCUGUCACUUAUAGAUGGAUCCGCGCUGCAUUAGCUAGUUGGUAAGGUAACGGCUUACCAAGGCAACGAUGCAUAGCCGACCUGAGAGGGUGGGCGGCCACACUGGAACUGGGACACGGUCCAGACUCCUACGGGAGGCAGCAGUAGGGAAUCUUCGGCAAUGGGCGAAAGCCUGACGGAGCAAAGCCGCGUGAGUGAUGAAGGUCUUCGGAUCGUAAAACUCUGUUAUUAGGGAAAAACAUAUGUGUAAGUAACUGUGCACAUCUUGACGGUACCUAAUCAGAAAGCCACGGCUAACUACGUG